GCCACCCAGGUGUCCCCAAAAUAAAUUAACUUUAAAAAGAUAAGCAAGGCAUGGCCCCUGAGCAAGGAUGACACACAAAUUCGUGAAGCAUUCCAUAUUUUU